rnacentral:lncRNA from 1 species
AGAGAGCUUCAGUUGACAAAUCCUAGUGCCAUUGACAACACAAAAACGAUUUUUAAGGUCUGUCCAUAGCAAGUGAGCAUCAUUAUAUUCACCAAUCGUAGAACGAAUAGACGGUUCUAGAGUAUUGGUAAUCCAAGAGACCAACAUUGAAUGAAUGACCUCCCAAUCCUCUCGCUUCUGGACAUCAGUAGGCUUCACAAUCGAGCCAUCAACAAAACCAAACUUUCGUUUGGCCUUCAACGAGGUCUUGAUCGCCCUCGCCCACUCAUCGUAGUUUUCACCACGAAGCUGAAUAGGAGUG